rnacentral:rRNA from 1 species
AUGCGGUAUGACGGUACCCUUUCGAAUAAGAGGUUGCUAACUCUGUGCCAGCAGCAGCGGUAAUACAGAGACCUCGAGCGUUAUCCGGAUUUACUGGGCGUAAAGCGUCUGUAGGGGGUUUGUUAAGUUCCAAGUAAAAUCUUAAGGCUCAACUUUAAGUUCGCUUGGAAAACUAAUAAACUGGAGUCCAGCAGAGGUGCAUGGAACUUGCGGUGUAGGAGUGAAAUCCGUUGAUAUCGCAAGGAACACCAAAGGCGAAGGCAUUGCACUGGGCUGGUACUGACCCUGAGAGACGAAAGCGUGGGGAGCAAAACGGAUUAGAUACCCGUGUAGUCCACGCCGUAAACGAUGGAUACUAGAUGUUCGGGGAUUCGACCCCCUGGGUGUCACAGCUAACGCGUUAAGUAUCCCGCCUGGGAAGUACGGCCGCAAGGCUAAAACUCAAAGGAAUAGACGGGGAUCCGCACAAGCGGUGGAGCGUCUGGUUUAAUUUGAUAGUAAGCAAUGGACCUCACCAAGGUUUGACAUCCUAUGACAACCCUGGAAACAGGGCUUCCUUCGGGCAUAGUGACAGGUGCUGCAUGGUCGUCGUCAGUUCGUGCCGUGAGGUGUUCCGUUAAGUCGGGAAACGAGCGAAACCCUCGUCGCAUGUUACAAAUUUCAUGCGAGACUGCCCGGGUCAACCGGGAGGAAGGCGGGGAUGACGUCAGAUCAGCAUGGCCCUUAUACCUUGGGCUACACAGGCGCUACAAUGGCCGGUACAAAGGGUUGCAAAACCGCGAGGUGAAGCUAAUCCCAUAAAGCCGGUCCAAGUUCGGAUUGGAGGCUGCAACCCGCCUCCAUGAAGUUGGAAUCGCUAGUAAUCGUGGAUCAGCCAUACCACGGUGAUACGUUCCCGGAUCUUGUACUCACCGCCCGUCACACCAAGAGAGUUGG